rnacentral:rRNA from 1 species
AGUGAACGCUGGCGGUAGGCCUAACACAUGCAAGUCGAACGGCAGCACAGUAAGAGCUUGCUCUUACGGGUGGCGAGUGGCGGACGGGUGAGGAAUACAUCGGAAUCUACUUUUUCGUGGGGGAUAACGUAGGGAAACAUACGCUAAUACCGCAUACGACCUACGGGUGAAAGCAGGGGAUCUUCGGACCUUGCGCGAUUGAAUGAGCCGAUGUCGGAUUAGCUAGUUGGCGGGGUAAAGGCCCACCAAGGCGACGAUCCGUAGCUGGUCUGAGAGGAUGAUCAGACACACUGGAACUGAGACACGGUCCAGACUCCUACGGGAGGCAGCAGUGGGGAAUAUUGGACAAUGGGCGCAAGCCUGAUCCAGCCAUACCGCGUGGGUGAAGAAGGCCUUCGGGUUGUAAAGCCCUUUUGUUGGGAAAGAAAAGCAGCAGGUUAAUACCCCGCUGUUCUGACGGUACCCAAAGAAUAAGCACCGGCUAACUUCGUG